rnacentral:rRNA from 1 species
UGGGGAAUAUUGCACAAUGGGCGCAAGCCUGAUGCAGCCAUGCCGCGUGUAUGAAGAAGGCCUUCGGGUUGUAAAGUACUUUCAGCGGGGAGGAAGGCGAUAAGGUUAAUAACCUUGUCGAUUGACGUUACCCGCAGAAGAAGCACCGGCUAACUCCGUGCCAGCAGCCGCGGUAAUACGGAGGGUUCAAGCGUUAAACGGAAUUACUGGGCGUAAAGCGCACGCAGGCGGUCUGUCAAGUCGGAUGUGAAAUCCCCGGGCUCAACCUGGGAACUGCAUUCGAAACUGGCAGGCUAGAGUCUUGUAGAGGGGGGUAGAAUUCCAGGUGUAGCGGUGAAAUGCGUAGAGAUCUGGAGGAAUACCGGUGGCGAAGGCGGCCCCCUGGACAAAGACUGACGCUCAGGUGCGAAAGCGUGGGGAGCAAACA